rnacentral:ncRNA from 1 species
CAGGUAGAGGCGCGACCUUUAUCAGUAAGUUGUCACAAUGCACGGUAGCAGUGACAGCGGAAAGGAAAUGUCGCCGAAGUCAGGACAGCCGUACCGUAGGCUUCCUUGCUGGGACAACGUAAAAUAUGCGUUGUACUGUCACGUUCAGUGGAGAGCUAUCGC